AACGUAGGAGACAAACGUUAUCCGGAGUUACUGGGCGUAAAGGGCGUGUAGGUGGUUUCGUAAGUCUGGCGUGAAAUUUCUCGGCUUAACCGAGGCAGGUCGUCGGAUACUGUGGAACUUGAGGACGGUAGAGGCGUGUGGAAUCCGGGUGUAGUGGUGAAAUGCGUAGAGAUCCGGAGGAACACCAGUGGCGAAGGCGACACGCUGGGCCGUACCUGACACUGAUGCGCGACAGCAUGGGGAGCAACAGG
rnacentral:rRNA from 1 species